GACGAACGCUGGCGGCGUGCUUAACACAUGCAAGUCGAACGGAAAGGCCCUGCUUUUGUGGGGUGCUCGAGUGGCGAACGGGUGAGUAACACGUGAGUAACCUGCCCUUGACUUUGGGAUAACUUCAGGAAACUGGGGCUAAUACCGGAUAGGAGCUCCUGCUGCAUGGUGGGGGUUGGAAAGUUUCGGCGGUUGGGGAUGGACUCGCGGCUUAUCAGCUUGUUGGUGGGGUAGUGGCUUACCAAGUCUUUGACGGGUAGCCGGCCUGAGAGGGUGACCGGCCACAUUGGGACUGAGAUACGGCCCAGACUCCUACGGGAGGCAGCAGUGGGGAAUAUUGCACAAUAGGCGGAAGCCUGAUGCAGCAACGCCGCGUGCGGGAUGACGGCCUUCGGGUUGUAAACCGCUUUCGCCUGUGACGAAGCGUGAGUGACGGUAAUGGGUAAAGAAGCACCGGCUAACUAGGUG
rnacentral:rRNA from 1 species